rnacentral:rRNA from 1 species
UGCUUCUCUGAUGUUAGCGGCGGACGGGUGAGUAACACGUGGAUAACCUACCUAUAAGACUGGGAUAACUUCGGGAAACCGGAGCUAAUACCGGAUAAUAUUUUGAACCGCAUGGUUCAAAAGUGAAAGACGGUCUUGCUGUCACUUAUAGAUGGAUCCGCGCUGCAUUAGCUAGUUGGUAAGGUAACGGCUUACCAAGGCAACGAUGCAUAGCCGACCUGAGAGGGUGAUCGGCCACACUGGAACUGAGACACGGUCCAGACUCCUACGGGAGGCAGCAGUAGGGAAUCUUCCGCAAUGGGCGAAAGCCUGACGGAGCAACGCCGCGUGAGUGAUGAAGGUCUUCGGAUCGUAAAACUCUGUUAUUAGGGAAGAACAUAUGUGUAAGUAACUGUGCACAUCUUGACGGUACCUAAUCAGAAAGCCACGGCUAACUACGUGCCAGCAGCCGCGGUAAUACGUAGGUGGCAAGCGUUAUCCGGAAUUAUUGGGCGUAAAGCGCGCGUAGGCGGUUUUUUAAGUCUGAUGUGAAAGCCCACGGCUCAACCGUGGAGGGUCAUUGGAAACUGGAAAACUUGAGUGCAGAAGAGGAAAGUGGAAUUCCAUGUGUAGCGGUGAAAUGCGCAGAGAUAUGGAGGAACACCAGUGGCGAAGGCGACUUUCUGGUCUGUAACUGACGCUGAUGUGCGAAAGCGUGGGGAUCAAACAGGAUUAGAUACCCUGGUAGUCCACGCCGUAAACGAUGAGUGCUAAGUGUUAAGGGGGUUUCCGCCCCUUAGUGCUGCAGCUAACGCAUUAAGCACUCCGCCUGGGGGAGUACGACCGCAAGGUUGAAACUCAAAGGAAUUGACGGGGACCC